GACGAACGCUGGCGGCGUGCUUAACGCAUGCAAGUCGAACGGGAGUAUUGAAGAAGCUUGCUUUAGAGAUACUUUAGUGGCGGACGGGUGAGUAACGCGUGAGGAGCUGUCCAAUGCAGGGGGACAACAGUUGGAAACGACUGCUAAUACACCAUAAGCCGAGAGGUAAAAGGAUUUAUCCGGCAAUGGAGGUACUCGCGUCCUAUCAGCUAGUAGGUGAGGUAACGGCUCACCUAGGCGAAGACGGGUAGCCGGCCUGAGAGGGCGAACGGCCACACUGGAACUGAGAUACGGUCCAGACUCCUACGGGAGGCAGCAGUGGGGAAUAUUGGGCAAUGGGGGGAACCCUGACCCAGCGACGCCGCGUGGGUGAAGAAAUCCUUCGGGAUGUAAAGCCCUGUUGUAUGGGAAGAGCGGAAGACGGUACCAUACGAGGAAGCCCCGGCAAACUACGUGCCAGCCGCCGCCGUAA
rnacentral:rRNA from 1 species